rnacentral:rRNA from 1 species
CAGCAGUAGCCGCGGUAAUACGAAGGGGGCUAGCGUUGCUCGGAAUUACUGGGCGUAAAGGGAGCGUAGGCGGACAUUUAAGUCAGGGGUGAAAUCCCAGAGCUCAACUCUGGAACUGCCUUUGAUACUGGGUGUCUUGAGUGUGAUAGAGGUAUGUGGAACUCCGAGUGUAGAGGUGAAAUUCGUAGAUAUUCGGAAGAACACCAGUGGCGAAGGCGACAUACUGGAUCAUUACUGACGCUGAGGCUCGAAAGCGUGGGGAGCAAACAGGAUUAGAUACCCGUGUAGUCCCUGUCUCUUAUAC